UCGUACAACCGGCCCCAGACCUGUAACACGUGCAAGUGCUAAAAGUCCGCACACAGUCUCCCACCUACUGCUCCCUCAACAGGAGUUCCGUCAACUGCCGAAGGACCACCGGCCGGUCACGAGUCACGCUUGUCUCGUGCUAACAUGUCAUACCAACAAAACGAAUAUUGCUCCGAACAAUUGUUUGUAAAAUAAAUAUUGAAGCUAGAGAUAAUUAUUUGUAAAUAUCGUUACUUUGAUUACAAGAUGGAGCCUGUAAUCUGUAAAUUUCUGUACUUUUUAACAAUGAAUGUUUCAAUAGUUUCAC